rnacentral:tRNA from 1 species
GCGAUAGUAGUUCAAUUGGUAGAACAUAACCUUGCCAAGGUUAAGGCAAUGGGUUCAAAUCCCGUCUAUCGCU